rnacentral:tRNA from 1 species
GCCUGAGUGGCUCAGUUGGUUGAGCGUCUGACUUCGGCUCAGGUCAUGAUCUCAGGGCUCAGGGGUUCAAGCCCCGCGUCGGGCU